AGAGUUUGAUCCUGGCUCAGGAUGAACGCUAGCUACAGGCUUAACACAUGCAAGUCGAGGGGAAACGACAUCGAAAGCUUGCUUUUGAUGGGCGUCGACCGGCGCACGGGUGAGUAACGCGUAUCCAACCUGCCCACCACUUGGGGAUAACCUUGCGAAAGUAAGACUAAUACCCAAUGACGUCUCUAGAAGACAUCUGAAAGAGAUUAAAGAUUUAUCGGUGAUGGAUGGGGAUGCGUCUGAUUAGCUUGUUGGCGGGGUAACGGCCCACCAAGGCAACGAUCAGUAGGGGUUCUGAGAGGAAGGUCCCCCACAUUGGAACUGAGACACGGUCCAAACUCCUACGGGAGGCAGCAGUGAGGAAUAUUGGUCAAUGGACGAGAGUCUGAACCAGCCAAGUAGCGUGCAGGAUGACGGCCCUAUGGGUUGUAAACUGCUUUUAUAAGGGAAUAAAGUGAGUCUCGUGAGACUUUUUGCAUGUACCUUAUGAAUAAGGACCGGCUAAUUCCGUGCCAGCAGCCGCGGUAAUACGGAAGGUCCGGGCGUUAUCCGGAUUUAUUGGGUUUAAAGGGAGCGUAGGCCGGAGAUUAAGCGUGUUGUGAAAUGUAGAUGCUCAACAUCUGCACUGCAGCGCGAACUGGUUUCCUUGAGUACGCACAAAGUGGGCGGAAUUCGUGGUGUAGCGGUGAAAUGCUUAGAUAUCACGAAGAACUCCGAUUGCGAAGGCAGCUCACUGGAGCGCAACUGACGCUGAAGCUCGAAAGUGCGGGUAUCGAACAGGAUUAGAUACCCUGGUAGUCCGCACGGUAAACGAUGGAUGCCCGCUGUUGGUCUGAAUAGGUCAGCGGCCAAGCGAAAGCAUUAAGCAUCCCACCUGGGGAGUACGCCGGCAACGGUGAAACUCAAAGGAAUUGACGGGGGCCCG
rnacentral:rRNA from 1 species